ACGCUGGCGGCGUGCCUAACACAUGCAAGUNNCAACGCGNAAAAUCCCCUUCGGGGGAUUAGUAGAGUGGCAGAUGGGUGAGUAAUGCAUAGGUAAUCUACCCUUGAGUGGGGAAUAACUUACCGAAAGGUGGGCUAAUUCCGCAUAAUGUUUCGACACCUAAGUGUUGUUAUCAAAGAGGGGGAUCCUUCGGGACCUCUUGCUUGAGGAUGAGCCUAUGUCCUAUUAGCUUGUUGGUAGGGUAAAAGCCUACCAAGGCUCUGAUGGGUAGCCGAGCUGAGAGGCUGACCGGCCACACUGGAACUGAAACACGGUCCAGACUCCUACGGGAGGCAGCAGUGGGGAAUUUUGCGCAAUGGGCGAAAGCCUGACGCAGCGACGCCGCGUGAGGGAUGAAGGUCUUCGUGAUUGUAAACCUCUGUCAGGAAGGAUUAAAUGUACAGUUGUUAAUACCAGCUGUACUUGACUUAACUUCCAGAGGAAGCUCCGGCUAACUACGUGCCAGCAGCCGCGGUAAUACGUAGGGGGCUAGCGUUACUCGGAUUUACUGGGCGUAAAGCGAGUGUAGGCUGUCAUAUAAGUCAGUGGUGAGAUCCCUCAGCUUAACUGAGGAAUUGCCAUUGAAACUGUUUGACUUGAGGACAGGAGAGGAAAGUGGAAUUCCCGGUGUAGCGGUGGAAUGCGUAGAUAUCGGGAGGAACACCAGAGGCGAAGGCGGCUUUCUGGACUGAUCCUGACGCUGAGAUUCGAAAGCUAGGGGAGCAAACAGGAUUAGAUACCCUGGUAGUCCUAGCUGUAAACGAUGGAUACUAGAUUUUGCAUAAUUUUGCUUGAUCGAAGCUAACGCGU
rnacentral:rRNA from 1 species